AUCUUGAAGGGACUGCUCACCCAGGAUCAAAUGUUCCGGCUGCUACGAACAGUGGAGAAGCAGGGCCUGGUCCCCCUGAUCGACAACCUGGUUAGCGGGAACAUCCAGAAGGUCAUAUCUGCGCAGAGCCGCAACCUCAACACCUUCAAAUGUCUCUUCUCGUCCAGCGGAGAACAGGUUUCGCUCAAGGGGAUCCCGUACAGUGAGCUGACGGUCGGCGUACCCAAGGAGACCUUCCUGAACGAGCGCCGAGUCGCCCUCAGCCCAGCUGCGUGUGCGACCUUGACAAAGGCAGGCUUCAAGGUGAAUGUGGAGCGUGGCGCCGGCGCAGAGGCGCAGUUCAGCGAGGCCGAGUACGUCAGCUCAGGUGCAGAGAUCAAGGAUGCAGGAGAUGUCUUCAAGUCGGACAUUGUCCUGAAAGUGCGAGCGCCGAGCGCGGAGGAAGUCAGCAAACUCAAGGACGGCGCACACCUCAUCAGCUUUCUCUACCCUGCACAGAACCAGGAGCUCAUCGACCUCCUGGCCAAGCGGAACGCCACGGUGCUGGCCAUGGACUGUGUGCCCCGUAUCAGUCGUGCGCAGGUGUUUGACGCCUUGAGCUCCAUGGCAAACAUUGCCGGGUACAAGGCGGUGAUAGAGGCAGCCAAUAGCUUUGGACGUUUCUUCACGGGUCAGAUCACGGCUGCCGGAAAGUUCCUCCGGCGAAAGUCAUGGUCAUCGGUGGUGGCGUGGCUGGCCUGUCUUCUAUUGGCACUGCCAAGAACAUGGGUGCCAUCGUGAGAGGGUUUGACACCAGGGAGGCGGCAAGAGAGCAGAUCAAGUCCUUGGGAGGAGAAGCCCUGGAAGUCCAUGUGGAAGAAUCCGGUGAAGGCGGUGGCGGAUAUGCCAAGGAGAUGUCCCCAGAAUUCAUUGCAGCAGAGAUGGCUCUGUUCGCCAAGCAGUGCAAAGAGAUUGACAUCCUGAUCUCCACUGCCCUCAUCCCCGGCAAGCCCGCGCCGAAGCUGAUCUCCAAAGAGAUGGUGGAGUCCAUGAAGCAGGGAUCCGUCAUCGUCGACCUGGCAGCGGAGGCGGGUGGUAACGUGGAGACGACAAAGCCCGGAGAGAAGUAUGUGUACAAUGGAGUGACGCACGUCGCGUACACCGACCUGCCCAGCAGACUGCCCACCCAGAGCAGCACCCUGUACGCCAACAACAUCAGCAAGCUCCUUCUGUCGCUCGGAGGGAACGGGGAGUACGUGCUGGACCUGGAGGACGAGGUCGUCAGAGGUUCCAUCGUCCUGGAUAAAGGCAAGCUGAUGUGGCCGCCACCUCCACCACCAAAGCUGGACGUCACCCCAGAGGCCAAGCCGGCAGAACAGGUAGCCGUGGCACCACCAGAGCCCAACUACUUCAUGGACACCAUGAGGAGUGCCGGGAUGUACUCCGCUGGCCUGGGAGUUGCAGCCCUCCUCGGAGUCGGCUCCCCCAACGUGGCCUUCUCCACCCAGCUCACCACCUUCUCCCUGGCUGGUAUCGUGGGUUACCACACGGUGUGGGGCGUCACCCCGGCCCUUCACUCGCCCCUCAUGUCCGUCACGAACGCCAUCUCCGGUAUCACUGCCGUUGGCGGUCUCCUCCUGAUGGGUGGAGGCUACUUCCCCAACAGCUGGCCCACCACCCUGGCUGCCACAGCCUGCUUCAUCUCUUCCAUCAACAUCGGCGGCGGCUUCGUCAUCACCCAGAGAAUGUUGGACAUGUUCCGUCGCCCCGAAGACCCGCCCGAGUACAACUACCUCUACGCCAUCCCCGGCGUGGGCUUCAUCGGAACCUACGCCUACGGCGAGAUGAUGGGAUACCCGGAGAUGUACAACCUGACCUGCCUCGGUGCGUCCCUUUGCUGCGUGGGAGCCCUGACGGGACUGGCCCACCAAACCACCUCACGUGUCGGCAACGCCCUGGGUAUGAUCGGUAUCGCCUCUGGCAUCGCCGCCACCCUUGGCGUCGUGAACGUGUCGCCGGAGACCUACAUGCAGAUGGGAGCGGCCAUGAGUGUGGGCGGCACCCUGGGAGCCAUCAUCGCCAAACGCAUCAUCAUCAGCGACCUGCCCCAGCUGGUGGCGUUGUUCCACAGCUUCGUGGGAAUGGCCGCCGUGCUGACCUGUGUGGCCACCUACCUGGCCCACGCCCCUCACUGGGGGGAUGAUCCCGCCACCAUCGAGAGAAUCGCCCAGUUCCUCGGCACGUUCAUCGGAGGUGUCACCUUCACUGGCUCUCUCAUUGCCUACGGAAAGCUUCAGGGUACCCUGAGCUCGGACCCCCUCCUGCUUCCCGGCCGCCAUGCGCUGAAUGCAGGCAUGAUGGCCGUCAACGUCGGAGCCCUGGGCUACUUCCUCAUGGACCCAAGCAUGGGAGCCGGCAUCGCGUGAGUUCA